GGGGGAUUAGUGGCGAACGGGUGAGUAACACGUGAGUAACCUGCCCUUAACUCUGGGAUAAGCCUGGGAAACUGGGUCUAAUACCGGAUAUGACUCCUCAUCGCAUGGUGGGGGGUGGAAAGCUUUAUUGUGGUUUUGGAUGGACUCGCGGCCUAUCAGCUUGUUGGUGAGGUAAUGGCUCACCAAGGCGACGACGGGUAGCCGGCCUGAGAGGGUGACCGGCCACACUGGGACUGAGACACGGCCCAGACUCCUACGGGAGGCAGCAGUGGGGAAUAUUGCACAAUGGGCGAAAGCCUGAUGCAGCGACGCCGCGUGAGGGAUGACGGCCUUCGGGUUGUAAACCUCUUUCAGUAGGGAAGAAGCGAAAGUGACGGUA
rnacentral:rRNA from 1 species